CACAUGACGGGCCGCGAGGUCACGUGACGCGCGGAGCAGCCGAUUCCCGCGUGGCGGAGUCGUGCGAUUUGGUGGCAGCAGCACAACCGAAGGAGACUUCCAGCAGCUUUGGGAAUAGCAAGAAACACAGGCGUGGUGCCUGAGAACCCUUUGAGUUCUUCUGUCUUUCUCGCCAUUUCUGAGGGCCAUUGGUCACACUGUAGAAAUGGAAAGGGAAUUUCCAAGCUGGCUAUGCUGUUACUCCCCAGUAUGAACUACUUGAGAGGGGAAACCUCCCAGAAGCUCAGUCAGCACAGCGGGCAGAGCUCCAGGCCCUCACAGAGCAUGCCUGUUAUCAGAAGGACCAACUGUUCAUGCUUAUACUGACAGCCGGUAUGCCUUUGGAGUCAUCCAUGAUUUUGGGAUGUUAUGGAAACAAAGGGGUUUUCUUAUGUUCUCUGGGACCCCAAUCAAAAAUGGAAAACAAGUAAAGGAUCUUCUUCCUGCUCUUCUCUUACCGUCUGAAAUUGCUGUCAGCAAAAUUGAGGGUCACACUAAAAAGACUGACUCUGGGCCUCAGGGAAACGCCCUGGCUGACUGUCACCCACAGGUGGCAGCAGGACCUGUAAAGGAUGUGGCACGCAUGGAUGAAGUUCAUCUGCUUCUGCAAAAAAGGACCCCUUGUUGCCAGACUUCUGCCAUCCUGAUGUCCCUGCAACAUGGCGACAGUCUGUUCCUGCAUCAGAGAAAUCUUGAUGACAAACAAUGGCAGUGAAUUCAAUGAAGAGUUGGGGCUAUGAGAAACCUAAGAUGGCUGCUUGGUUCUUCACGGCUCCCUGGCAAGCCCUGUUUUUCAGUUUUUGCAUUCCUUCACCCACCAUAGUGCAUUUAAGAUGACUCAAAUUAUGAAUAGACAUUGGUGGGGAGACUUCUAUAAAAUUGUGAAAGCAUUCUACCAGCAAUGUCUGACCUGUCAGGUCCAUAAUCCUGGAAAAACGAUUUUUUUUGUCCCCAGAGGCCUGCUCCUUCUGGACCCUUUGAACACCUGCAGCUGGACUUUGUUCAACUGCCGCUUAGUGUGGGUUAGCAAUAUGUUCUUGUUACUUUAUGUAUGUUUUCUGGAUGAGUUGAAGCCUCUCCCUGCCGCAAGGCCAAUGCCCUCACAGUAGCUGAGAAACUGUUAGAAAGUGCGUUUCCCACUUGGGGUAUACCUUCCACAAUCUCCAGCGAUUGAGGCACCCACUUCACUGGGCAGAUCAUAUGAGCCUUAGUGAAAGACUUGCAAACUGCUUGGAAUUAUCACUGGCCCUAUCACCCUCAAUCAUCGGGUAAGGUCGAGAGAACGAAUGGGAUCUUCAAACUCAAAAUUUCUAAAUUUGCUGAAACUGCUGGACUCCAUUGGCUUAAGGUGUUGCCUUUGGCAUUGCCGACUGUUAGUAGUACCCCCUUUUGGGAAACAUAAACUCACUCCACAUGUGAUAGUCACCAGUAGACCAAUGUCCAUCGGUACACAACCUUCUUCUGACCCCUGUAGUCUCAUGCUGGUAUGACCAGCUACAGUAAGUCUCUAAUGUCCUAUACUCAAGCCCAUCAUCAACAGGUUAAAGCAGCUUUCCCUGAUCCCAAUUCAAGGGAUCCUGUUGGUCACUGUCUAGAGCCUGGUGACUGGGUAUUCUGGAAGCACCAUCAGAGGAAGACAGCCCUUGAGCCCCAUUGGAAGAGACCUUACCAAGUGCUCCUGACCACUGACACUGCUGCAGAACUGGAAGGCACUGAGCCCUCGGUACACGUCUCCCCGCUGAAGAAGGCUCUACCUGACACCUGACAUCUGGGCCUGUGCAGACGCUGGAGACCUCCGUAUAAAGUUGAGGAGAAAGAGAAGUAGCUGACACUGGGGUAGACUGCUUCCACCCAAGAUGGCGGAUCAAGACUUUAAGUAAACAUGAAACCCUUCCUUCUUCUCUUUCUUCCCUUUACUCCAGCACUGGGAAAGAUAACGCCCCUCUCUGUAUCUCCCAGGCCAUCGCUAAGGGGGGUGACUUUUCAGAUGCUGGAUUUGUCAUCAAAGAUUCUGAUCUAUUUAUGAUGGGAGAGAUCUCUGGUCCUCUCUGUGACAAAUUUCUCUUCUAUCCCUAAUGUCACCACAAACUACGAUUGACCCCCCCCCUUUAGAAGACUCUUCACCCCCACGUUCCCAUGAUUAUCAAGAUCAGAUCUGCCCCCACUCACUGAGAGAUCUCACGAGCAACACCCAUCUUUGCAGGGCAUGUAGGUUGACUCUUUAUUUCAGGCCAGGAUAUUCUCUUCCCACAUGCACCAAACACCUGACUGACCCUGGCUUGAAUGGGUAAAUGCAGCAAUCCCUGUGAAUAAUCCGUUCCCUGGUUAGGAGUAAAUACAAAUGAGAAUAUGAUCAGGAACCUCUCCUUAGCUCUUGGAGACAUUGCAUAUUCUGUUGCAAGACAUUAGCUGCCCAGCAAAGAUCCUUAGACUCCUUGGCCACAGUUGUUCUUGAUGAUAAGAUAGCCCUUGAGGAGUUGGUCCCAUGGCUGAGUGGUUAAAAUUCCAUGCACUCUGCUUCGGCAGCCCAGGUUUGUGGGUUCGAUUCCUGGGUGCAGACUUAUUCCACUCAUCAGCCAUGCUGUGGAGACAUCCCACAUGCAAAAUAGAGGAAGACUGGCACAGAUGUUAGCUCAGCUAAUCUUCCUCAAGCAAAAAAGAGGAAGUUUGUCAACAGGUGUUAGCUCAGGGUGAAUCUUCCUCAACAACAACAACAAAAAAGUAUCAAGACUUAAAAAAAAAAAAAGACUGCCCUUGAUUAUCUUUAGCUGAGCGAGGAGGUGUCUGUGCUGUGGCCAACACCACCUGCCGUACCUGGAUCAGCACUCCUGGGGAAAUUGAAACCCAGCUACACAGAUCACUGAGCAAGCCAUUGGCUUAAAGGUGACCCUUUCAGCAGGGUCUUUCUUUGAUUGGUUGGGGUCUUGGGGAUGAUGGCUCCCAAGGGCACUCCAAGCGCAGAGAGUUGUCUUGCUUGUAGUUAUCAUAAUCAUCUCCCUUGUGCAUUGUAUCCUCUCAAAAGCUUUACACGCAUGUUCGUAGCCACUCAUCACCAGGCAAAUGAUAUCCCUGAACUGGACAUCGAAAAAGGAAUGAAGAGGGGCCAGGCCAGUGGCGUAGUGGUUGAGUUCGGUGAGCUCCGCUUCGGCAUGGGUUUGUGGGUUCGGAUCCCAGGCGUGGGCCUGCAGCACUUGUCAAGCUGAGGCACCGACCCACAUACAAAAUAGAUGAAGAUUGGCACAGGUGUUAGCUCAGGGACAAUCUUCCUCAGCAAAAAAAAAAAAG